rnacentral:rRNA from 1 species
UACGGGGGGGGCAAGCGUUGUUCGGAAUUACUGGGCGUAAAGGGCGCGUAGGCGGCCUACUAAGUCGGACGUGAAAUCCCUCGGCUCAACCGGGGAACUGCGUCCGAUACUGGUGGGCUCGAAUCCGGGAGAGGGAUGUGGAAUUCCAGGUGUAGCGGUGAAAUGCGUAGAUAUCUGGAGGAACACCGGUGGCGAAGGCGGCAUCCUGGACCGGUAUUGACGCUGAUGCGCGAAAGCGUGGGUAGCAAACAGG